CUUUGGAGUGGCCCGAUUCGCAGUCCUGCGUUCACUCAGUCCAGAUAUAAAUACGGCGGAUCAGGACACCGUAUAGUGUAUCAUUAGGUCAUUAAUGCUAAUUUAUCAUCGUGCCCUGUGUGGUGAUGGACAGCGCAUCUGUUUGAGGCACGAGGCCAACGUAGGAAGCGUCCACAUUGCCUCGAAGUUCUCCAGCGCUUGGGUCACUCAGGAAAAGUUUCUCCUGAGCUACACGUUGAAAGAAGUGCACAGGAACCAUUUUACAGGAGAUCCUAACAGGAGCAACAACCUAUAGCUUGGAGGUGGUGGAGGUUGAGGUGGAGGUGGUGGAGGAGGGGGGAGCCAGGAUGUUGAACCCCAGGAAUCAGAGACUUGCUGAAAGUUAAACGUUCUGGCCUGCUUUAUUUUUUUGCGUCUGUGGUGCCACCUGGAACCCUCGACCUCGCCGAUUUUAGCGUCGUAUUUACGAAUCGUCGUGUCCGUGCGGGAGUCGAGCGACCCGCUGAGAACGAGGAACGAAUAACCGAGAGGAAGAGGAAGUGAGGACGGAAACACAGCGAGCUUUCCCGGCUGCUUCUUUCGGAUUUAUCCGCCUUCCCCGGCGCUCCCCUCCUGCAGCUCCGCCAUCCCGGGAACGUUUCAUCUUCUUUGGGGAAUUUCACGCCGGUUAGUCCUUGUCAUCAGUGAACUUCGCAACGUAAUAAAAAUACCGCCGCCAUAUUUUUUUAUUCCACUACUCUUUUUUUUUUUUGAGGACAGAUCCGAGGCCGGAUUCCCUCCCGUUACCGUUUCCUGUAGUCGAGUCCGUGUGUUAUCCGGUACGCGUGGUAAAAAAAAGCCGAGGCUCCUGUGGGAGAUCGGAGACUUUUUUCGCCGUUGUGUGUCUGUCAUAUAUAUGUUUUCCUUUUUUUCCGGACGUGUUCGAGUCAUGUUUGAGUUCGAGUCAUGUUUGCCUCAACACGGAUGUGUGUUUUUAUUUUUACGCCUGGCCAUGAGUGUAUCCUUUGUGUGUGUACCUUUGACUUAUUUUUUUUGUUUCGUGUGUGUGAGCAUGGGAUUUUGAGUUUUAUAGACAUUCCUUUUGGUUUGCGUUUACUUGCGUUAUCAAAAAAAAAAAA
ensembl:lncRNA